AAAUGCGAUAACUAGUGUGAAUUGCAGAAUUCCGUGAAUCAUCGAGUCUUUGAACGCACAUUGCGCCCCCUGGUAUUCCGGGGGGCAUGCCUGUCCGAGCGUCAUUGCUGCCCAUCAAGCACGGCUUGUGUGUUGGGUCGUCGUCCCCUCUCCGGGGGGGACGGGUCCCAAAGGCAGCGGCGGCACCGCGUCCGAUCCUCGAGCGUAUGGGGCUUUGUCACCCGCUCUGUAGGCCCGGCCGGCGCUUGCCGAACGCAAAUCAGUCUUUUUCCAGGUUGACCUCGGAUCAGGUAGGGAUACCCGCUGAACUUAAGC
rnacentral:misc_RNA from 1 species